CGUGCCCUCUCCCCGGCCGCCCACCGGGCGGCCUUCUUCCUCCCAGGCUGGGCGAGCCUGUGUCCCUUCAGGCCUGCAGAUCUGACUUCCUGCAGCGGGGCCAGAGUCUGUGCAUGCCGUCUGGCCCUGGGACAGUCGGCUUUUCGCUUCUUUUCACUGAGGCGUCGGUCCUCACAGCGGCAGCUUUCCACGCUCGGGAUUCCCCGCAGGGACCUCGCUGGGCCUCCGCGGGCUGGCCCACCAGACCCAGCCUUGGGGCUGUGCCAGGCCUGGGUUUGGGCCACGCGAGAGACAGUGUCAGGGUGGGUGAGUGUGCUCAGGUGGGCUGGCACCCUCCCGGCUCCCUCCCCGCCUCCGGGGCCGUGUCCGGCUCUCACUGGCCCCCGAGCCAGGACCGCCAUCUUGUGCGCACCCAGCCCUCCAGGCGGCCCGCCGGGAAACUCCCUUCCUGUGGCCCCCGUGUGCAUGUGAGCACUUCAGAGGCAUCUCCAGGAAGCGGGCCUCGGAUGCCUCCAGAGCCCCUCCAGCCUGGCGAUGGGACGCGGGCCCCUCCCGAAGGGCCGCAGGCUCCUGAGGGCCUUGACGCCUGAGGUCACCUGAGAUGGAGGGCCUCAUCAAUAAUUGAUUCUGCAGAAGGCAGGGGAGUUCCAGCCAAGAGGGAAGGAAGGGUCCACGGCUCACUCACGCGGAGCCCGGGGCCAGUGAAACCCUGCAGAGGCCCCACUCCCCUCUGUGGGCCAGGGCUGGGGGCCUGCAGGAGGUGCCCCGCCAGGCGCCCCCCAGCACAGCACCACGGGCAGGGCUACAGGACAGCUGUAUCGAUCGCCCCCGCUUUCCGAUCUUGCCUGCAGCUCCCUGGGGCUGAAGGAUGAUGGAUGACAGCUGGGGGGUCAUGUGGCCACAUCCCUGCCUGAAGGGAGCCCUCCUCUGGCCCCCAAAGCUGGGGGGAUGCAGGCGCGCACAGAGCAGGGAAGCAGCAAAACACAGCCCCUCACUGCUGUGUGAGGCCAUCAGCAGUCACUCCCCACACCGCCCAGCCCCCGUCCCCAGGCGGCCACCAGCCUACUUUCUGUUUCCAUAGAUUUGGUCUGUUCUGGACAUUUCACGUAAACGGAGUCAUACAAUA